rnacentral:lncRNA from 1 species
UUUCAGCCAUUAAACACCCAAAAACUAGCAAUCAAAUGCCAUCUUAACACCUCCAAUUUCGACCAUUAAACACCCAAAAACCAGCAAUCAAAUGCCACCUUAACACCUCUAAUUUCAGUCAUUAAACACCCAAAAACACAGCUGCCGAGUUUCACCAAAAAUCAGCAAAAAGUGGGUUCCCUUAACUGAAGCUAAAAGGGAUUCGAGAGGCAAGUUUGAGUUCGCCGUCACUGGUUUCCGAUGGUGGUCGCUGGUGUUUGGUCCGUUGGUUGAGUUGCAAAUCUUUAAAAUUCGGACUCAGCAAUAAAGGUCCGUUUCUUUCACACAUGUACCGUGUCUUCCUAGUUAGAUUCAUAGAUUUUGUUUGAAUGAUUAUUUCGUCAAGUUUAUAUAUUUAUGCGAGUUUUGAAUCCAUAACUCGAACUGAGUUUACCUAAAAGUUCCAUUUUGUUUUGUUAGUAUUUGAGGAAGUUUGGGAAUUCGUUAUUGUUAUUAUAUAUUAGCAUGUUGUUUGGUCGUUAUCUUGAUUAGUUAAUCCAUUAUUUUGAUGUUAUUUGAUUAGCUGCUUUGAGUUAGAUAAAUAAUGAUGAUAUUAGAGGCAAAGCUAUUCUUUUUACCGCUGAAUGUUUGAGGCCUUAAGUAGUUGAUAGUAUUGUUGCAUAGCUUCACUAUUUCCUCUCAAUUGGAAUUAAUAUCUAGGGAUUAAAUGGCUACAGUUAGCCGAAUCUUGGUAAAUACUUUUAGCUGGCCCAUUUUCCUCAUUUAGUCCACAAUAAAUAAUUGUUAGAUUACUCCAAAUAGCUAAAAACUUCAUGUACUUCAAACACCUCCAUAUCCAUCAUUCAAUAGCCUCAUAAUAAUCUCAAAUUAGUUUAGAAAAAUAAUUCAAGUACGCUAGUUGCUUUAGGCGUGCUUUACAUAAUUAAAUAUCAUGGCUAUAGGUACAAUUCCCGUGGCAUAGUUGGGAUACGUAACCCCAAAUAUAAGUGCGCAUUCACGCGACUUGACCAAUCAAAUUUUAAAUAGUAAUAAAUGUGUUAUUGAUUAUGUACGUACGCGUGACAUGAUUCAUGACACGCCGAAUAAAGUUAGUACACGUACGCGUGACUUAUUACAAGAUAAUUUUCAUAAAUCUAAUCAAGCAAUAAAAGCGGACAUAGGUAAAACAUGAAAACCAAUACAACACAGUUUAUCCAAAAAUAAUAUAAACCAAAUAUAGUUAGUAAAGCGACUGCACUAGAACCACGGGACUCGGGGAAUGUCUUACACCUUCUCCCCGGUCAACAGAAUUCCUUACCUGGACUUUAUUUUCGCAGACCAAUAAUAAUAUAGUCAAACCUUCCUUUGAUUAUGGAUUCAAAUAAAAGGUGACUUGGAACACCGAAAAAUCAAUUCCAAGUGGCGACUCUGCAAAUAAAAUAAUCCCUAUUCAAAUUUGUCACUUCAAUUGGAAAAACUCUUUAACCCACAACCCAUAAUACAUAUAUCUUUUGGGGGUAAAAAGGGGUGUGACAAUGUGAGGUCUUGAUUAUAUUCUAUGUUAUCCUAUGUUAGUGUAAAACUUGCCCCGUGUGUUAUUCGAAACGAAAUAAGUAAGCUUUGUGAGUCUUGGAGAUGAUGUAGGCGUUUCUUUGAUUGCCCAUUGAGCUAGUAUGCCACCAUAAAUAAAAUUAAUCCUUAGAUAGCCCAUUUGAGCCUAUAAACCUUUUCUUUGGCACCUACAUUACAAGCCGAUUCCCUUUUUGUUCUUAAUUAGAUCUUUUGAACCUUUACCUCCGAAAGCACUUUAGUCGCUAGAAGAGUAAGGUGAGAGUUGAGGUAGCUUUUGAGUGAAAUCACAAAAAGGCCAAAAGGUGCACGUAUGUUUUGAAAGAUCAUUAUUCUGGCAACCCAAGUAUGGAGAGUGUUGGAAAACACAAUAGAAAAUACACCUCCUAUUCCUUUUAAUCCGAUCUAGUGAAUGCAUAGUUGUGCUUAAAGAAGAAGGGCCAAAUUGUAUAUUAUUUCGUGGCAUUGCUUGAAUUGGUCAUGAAAAAUAUGUAUUUGAAAGUUAAGUGUACUGUAUUAAAGUGCUUAGGAGGGUUAGUCACUAUACCCAAAUAUAUCCUACUCAUCCCUUAGCCUACAUUAUAACCUGGAAAGACCUAAUUGAUCCUAAACUUCGCAAGCUUAAAUUAGUAGAGACAUACACUACGGGCAAACUUAUGGAACGACCUCAGAAUGCACAUAAAUUUCUUUGAGAGAGUGAGCGAAUUCUUUCGAUUUGUAAGUCCUUAAAUUAUACUUAAAUACAUAUUUGAGUGUGUGAACUAAUUUCUCUCUUUGGUUUGUGGUGAGGGCACAUGAUUUAUAAAUGAUUGGUAAAGCCCAAGCAUUUUGAGUUGACACAACAAGUGAGUCAUAGUAGGGAAUGUAUUGGAGUCAUCUUUUAAGGUUAGGAUAUUAGAAGAAGUCGCACAAAUAUUUUAAAUAGUCUUGGCAUGGGUCUACUUUUGAAGUAAGAUGUCAGUAGUUCUUAUAUCGAGUUCUAAGUGUUGGUAUAAGCCAUUGUCAUUGGUAUGAUGCUUGAGUAUAUUUCGAAAAUGUGUUUCUUGCCAUUGUGCUUAAUUUUGAAAGUUGCUCGAGGACGAGCAAAAGUUUAAGUGUGGGGUGUUGAUAAACGGCCAAAAAUACAUAUUUUUCGGUGUACUUUCAUCUCAUAACUUAUGUGGUUGCGGUAGGUUACAUGAGUUUUUGUACUGAAUUAUGCUCAUUACGUGCAUUCUUAUGUUAAGGAGCAAGUUGGACAAAAAGUGAGCAAAAGAAGUUGAUUCGGGACCAAAAGACAAAAGAAGAACUUUGCUCGUUCAUUCUCGCGUGUACACAAGAGAGUGAAUGAGCUAGCUGAGGAAAAGCUUGAGAAAAAAUAACGGAUUAUGGCAAAAAGAUAUGGAAGUGCACGAGAGACCUAGAAGGAAAAGAAAAAGAGAAGCACUUCGCUCGUUCACUCUAGCGUGCACACGAGAGAGUGAAUGAGCUAACCUAAAAAAGUUGUUCCGAAGUGGGCUUGUAUUAUUUCACCCCAUGCAAACCCUAUCACAUAUAAAUAGUCCUUAAACUCACUUUUGAUAGGGGAUUGGACGUUUUUAGAGAGGAUUAUCGACCGAAGGAGGCAAGAACACACUAGGAGCAAGGCGGAGAAUUCUUCUACAAGUUUUUCACUUUCUUCUUCCUAUUUUCAUUAUUGGUUAUCAAUUCUAGUAUUGUAGUUUUGCAUACUAUUAUGAAUAACUAAUUUGUUAUCUAGGGUUUUGAUGGAACCUUUUAUAGGAUGAAUUCUUAUUACGUGUUUAUAUAAUUGAGCCGUUGGAUUUCUCUACUUGUUCAACUACGUGUUUAUUGUUGUUGAUUGAAUGACCAUCAAUUGACUGUGCCUAUUUAGUGUGUAUUGCUUGGAAAAUGAUACAUAUUUAGGUAGUUAUUGAGCAACAUCACUCCUAACGUAUGUGAGGAAUCAAUACGGAGGGUUUAAAGGUGGGAUUAGGAAUAACGAAACCUUGGUGCGAUCUUAGUUAGCGGUGAAUUAGUGCCAGCUAGCGUAGUUCGGAAGAAUAUGUCUAGUAAAUUAUUGUAGAUGCUCGGAAGAUAAUUACGACACCCGAAGUACUCAUGAUCGAUAGAGAAUACUUGGGCGAAAUUAUAGAAAAUAUAGUGGGAAGAAUUCCGACAAUUGGAGAAAUCAUAACUCUAGACCUCCUUAGUCUUGUUAGUUGAUAAUUUUACUACUUUUUGUAUUCGUUAAUUACUUAGUUUAAAAUCAAAAUUACAAUCUUUAUAACUAGGAAAUUAUUUGAACUUGUAUUUCUUAAUUAGCAAUACUAAACAAUUGUAGCUAAAACUUAGUUCUCUGUGAGAUUAGACUCCGAACUUUUAGACCAGAUUAUAUUUGCAGCGAUCGCUUAUCCUUUUUAGGAUUAGAGUUGGGCGUGAUCAACGGGGUCUGGGCAAAAUAUAUUACAUUGUAGAUUCGCCUCUCCGACGAAUUAGAUAUAUUACUGUUCUUGCAAGUUAAUAUUCGGAAAGAUAGAUGAACCUCGUCGUAAAUGACUUCAUGACAUCGGAUACAUCAAUUUUAAUAAAUAUGCUACAAAUAUUUUGUAGAUUCUACAUUAAACAUCAGUGAUUAUUGAUUAGACAAGCACAGAAAGAUUAGACAAGCCCCAAAAGAUGGUGGAAUUUAACAAGUCACAUGAUCGAUCAAUGAUCCCUCGCCACCUAUUAUUAAAACAAAGAAAGAGAGAAGUCAAGGAAGUCCAAAUCCACGAGCUUGGUAUUAUAGCAGUGGGCAAUUCAAGAAAAGGAGUAGCAAACAUCGCACUCACUAUAUUAAUAGUAAUAGUCGUUGCCUAGCAAGUAGCUAUGCACAGGCAUUGUUGAAGAAUGCAGACCACAUGGUC